GAYGGUGGGACCAAGAGCCCAGUGUGGGACGUGAGCUCCAGCCCUGCCUCCAAUGUCCAGGGGGAAGAUGAAGAGGACACCGAGCACAGGGAGCAUGGACAGCCUGACACACAGGUCCAUGCUGCAGAAGGCYCACAGGAGGUGACCUAUGUCCAGCUGCACCCAAGGACCCUCACCAGGAGUGUGGGUCCACUUCCCUCCCGAGCGCCCCAGGAUGGGUCAACACAGCCCUGUGUGUAUGCCACACUCACCUCGCCUUGAGGGGACAGCAGGGCUGGCUGAGUGGACGGCAGUGCCCAGGUGCCGCUCCAUGUCCCUCAGUGCCAGCCCCCAGGUGGGAGCCCUGAGACUCGGAGAGAGAAGCUCGUGCACUGCCGGGAACCCCGGGGGCUCUGGCGCAGUCCCGGCUCCUGGCAUAUUGUCACCAAGUGUUUCAGAGGAGCCUGCCUGGGCUCACGUGGGGAGGGGCGGGUGGCCGGGCAGGCCUCCUCUAAGGGACUGGCUACAGCUGCGGGAGGCCAGCCUGCCCUCCAGCCCUCAGGAAGCGGACGAGUGGCCUGAGGAGGACCCUGAGUCUUCYGCAGCUGGACGUCGUGGGUGGCGCUGCAGCAUGCUGGUCACGGUGCCCCCCGGGGGGCCAGUGCAUUCUGCCCACUGUGAUCCCAAGGGGGGCCUGGCUCACGCGGGGGCUUGGCCUUUGACCCCUUCAGCCCCCGUGGCUCUCUCCGUGGCUGCAGCCUCCACAGGCUCAGGUGCAGGGUCCCCUUGUCACCCUCCCCCACAUGCCCAGCUCCUCCGUGGCAUCUCGCAGUGGCCAGUCAGUGAUGGGAGCACUCUUUGUG